rnacentral:misc_RNA from 1 species
GAUGAAGAACGCAGCGAAAUGCGAUAAGUAGUGUGAAUUGCAGAAUUCAGUGAAUCAUCGAAUCUUGAACGCACAUUGCGCCCUUUGGCAUUCCGAAGGGCAUACCUGUUCGAGCGUCAUUGCACCUCUCAAGCACAGCUUGGUGUUGGGCGCCUGUCCCCGCGUUUGCGCGGUGGACUCGCCUGAAAAGCAUCGGCGUCCGGCGGCUGGUCUUGCGCGUAGCAGAUUGUUCGCACAAGGACCGGGCCGCGGGGCUGCCGCACACGUCUUUGAUUCUUAGUUUGACCUCGGAUCAGGUAGGGAUACCCGCUGAACUUAAGCAUAUCAAUAAGCGGAGGA